rnacentral:rRNA from 1 species
GACGAACGCUGGCGGCGUGCUUAACACAUGCAAGUCGAACGGAAAGGCCCUGCUUGCAGGGUACUCGAGUGGCGAACGGGUGAGUAACACGUGGGUGAUCUGCCCUGCACUUCGGGAUAAGCCUGGGAAACUGGGUCUAAUACCGGAUAGGAGCCAUUUUUAGUGUGAUGGUUGGAAAGUUUUUUCGGUGUAGGAUGAGCUCGCGGCCUAUCAGCUUGUUGGUGGGGUAAUGGCCUACCAAGGCGGCGACGGGUAGCCGGCAUGAGAGGGUGGACGGCCAGAUUGGGACUGAGAGAGGGGCCAGACGCCGAAGGGAGGCAGAAGGGGGGAAUAUUGCACAAUGGGCGGAAGCCUGAUGCAGCGACGCCGCGUGGGGGAUGACGGCCUUCGGGUUGUAAACUCCUUUCGCUAGGGACGAAGCUUUUUGUGACGGUAACUAGAUAAGAAGCACCGGCUAACUACGUG